UAUGGACUCUUAUAUAUAUAUAUAUGGAAUGGGCGAAGUUGAUUUAGGUUGGGCUAAGCUUUCAUGGAUAGUGCAUGGAGUGUUUAACCCAUGGAUCCUAGGAAAUGAAAGGUCAUGGGUAUUAGGGUUUAACCCUAAUCCUCCACACUAUAUAAAGAUGUAAUUGGUUGGUGAAAUUGGCACUAGUGUGGUACACUAAGAAGGGCUAGCCAAUUUCACUAGAGAGAACCAAGUAUCCAUAUUCUCUAAAGUCUUCCAAGGUGUUUUGGUGAUUUGUGAUUCCAUUUGAGGCUUCCACACUAUUGGGGCUAAGCUCUUAAAGCUUGAAGACAUCAAGCUACAUCAAGAGGUAUGUAUUUUAUCUUGCUAUAGUCAUUGUUUUUGUAUGCUUGAUUAGGAUAAUACCUUGGAUGUUCUUAUUUGCAUGUAUAAUAGAGAAAACAUAGAUCCAAGGUAUUUAGGGUUGCAUGUACACUUAGGAAGUGUUAGAAUGCUCAAAACCCAACAGUGGUAUCAGAGCCACGGGUUGUUUUCUGUUAUAUUGAUGCAAAUAUUUUAUUUUCAAAGUUGAAAAAAAAAAAAAAAAAAAACAUGAAGUUUGUCAAAUUUUAAGAUAAUUACUUGUUCUUGUGAAAAACUAAUUAUUUGUAAAAUUUGAAUAAUUUGCUUUAUGAGUUGAAUUAGGUCAAAUUUAAUAAAAGAUAAAAUAAUAUGAUUAUUUUAUUAGUUUUAAAAGUUUGAUCUAAAGAGUUUUAUUUUUUGAAACCUCCAUAAGUUAUGGAUAUGAAAAGGUUUUAAAAAAAAAAUUGAUUCAAAGUUUUUUUGGAGUUACAAAAUUUGGUGUUAAUGUUUUAAAGGAUUCCAUAACUUAAGAAUAAGUUAUGGAUCACCAAAAGUUUUUUGUGUUACCUUGUUUUAUGAGUGAAUUUAGAUUAAUGAAUAAAAUUAUGUGAUAGUUGGUUUUAAUCCAAAUUAAUCUAAGAAUUGAUUCUAAAAUGUGUUUUUGUAACUUGUCCUCAAGUUAUAUGAAAAGUCACAUUUAAGAAUCAUAAAACUCAUAAAAAUUGGCAAAGGUUACAAAAAUGAAGAGUCUAGUUCUAAUUAAAUGGUUUUAUGACUCCAUAACUUGUCCUCAAGUUAUGGAGGACCAAGAGUCUCUUCAUUUAAUAAAAUAAAAUAAAAAAAAAAAAAGUGUAACCUUAAUUAAUUCCAUAAGUUAUAAAAUAAAGAAAAGUUAAUUCUUUUAUUAGUUUAAAGUCUUCCAUAACUUGUCCUCAAGUUAUGGAACUUGAAGAGUUUUUGGAUUAAAACUACUUUAAACACAUAAGUUAUGGAAUUAAUUAGUUUUGAAUAGUUUCAAAACUUGCCCUCAAGUUUUGGAAUUUGUAAAGUUUUCACUUAUGAAUACUUUAAUUCCAAGUUAGCCCUUAGAAUUUUAAAAGUUAAAAUUCAACCCUUAUACUUUAUAAUAUUAUAAGUUAAUAAUAUAUAUAUGUAUAAGAGUAAAGUCAGUCUUACCGCUAGUACGCCUCAUUCACGAAGCCGGUCUAUAAGGUGGGUAUAAGGUUGUUGCCUAUAAAAUGGCAACUUAAUGGGUGUCCACUCUCACCCACCGCUUGCUUGACUGGUGGAGGGUCGUUAGCCGAACGGGUUUGACAGGACUAGAAUUCUCCCUUCAUUAAAAGUAUUAAUGAUAAUACUAAGUAACUAAACUCUUAAUAAUACCCAAUCUUAGUUACUUAGGAAAAAUGUGAAUAAGGUGCUAAUCCAUGAAAUUACACUUUACACUUUGUCUAAGUCGUUAGUGGAGCGUGUGUGGUUAACCGGCACACUAACUUGGACUUAACAAGGUAGGUAAAGGGUGACUUAAUAUUUAUCAUAGUAUCGAUGGAGCGUGUGUGGUUAACCGGCACAUCGAUUGAGGGGUAAUUUAUUAAGGGUACCAAGUGAUUUGCAUGGUUACUUCACACCUUGUUUUGUGAUCCUCGGCAUCCCAGUCACAAAACCUGAAGGGCACACUCGAGAUUGAAACAUGCCUUUGAACAGUUCAAUGAAUCUCAAAGAUCUAGGAGUUUCAAAACCAAUUAAAACCUAAUAAUACAUUUCGUUUAUCUUGGUGGAAAUUGGUGAAUCGUCAUUCACCUACCUUCAAAUAUUUUAUAGCUUGGAUUACGGCAUACCUCUUCUAAGUUAUAAAAUAGUUUGUUGGGUCCUAGCCUUAAUAUUUCAUAUUGGGUGUCAUAUUAAGGACUUUAAAUCAACUAUCUUGAAUAUCUCCCAAAAGAUGUCUGGUUUAGACACCUAUGAUCUUCCCAAAUCUCUUGAAACAAGGUUUCCUAAUGAAGAUGAUGUCCCAUGGAUAUCAUACUUCUUUCUCCUCCUCCAAUUAUUCUCCCUAACCCACAAGUUCUUGAAAAGUUUAAGGUCACUCAAGCCCUAUUGGCAAGGCAAGGUCUAGGUGUGAUCACAUCUUGGAGAUGUAGUCACAUAUUGACAAGCCGGGAGAGUUGGGUGUCAAAGUCUUGAGAAAGUUGGUGGUUCAAUCACUUUCUAAGUCACAUAGUGAGUUCCUUUGGGACACCUAUGAAACAGACUAUGACAAGACCCUUAAUGAUCUUAUCUAUUUGCUAAGAUCAACUUCCUAAAACUUUAUGGACAUUGACAAUGAUGACAUUGGAUAUCCAGUAAAGCAUUCUCUUCCCAAUGGAAAGGGAUCGGCCAUAGUCAACUCGGUUGACCAAAUGGUAAAGAGAAAAGCUAAGUCUGUGAUAGUCUCGUGUACCAUUAUCAAAGGGUCCAUAUGUUUAUAUUGCCAAAGGAAGGGGCAUUGGUUGCGAAGCUGCCAAAUUUACCUAAGGAGGUUAAAGUCAAUAAGUUUGACUCUACUUCAGGUAAAGUCCACUAUCUAACUCUGUUAAGUUUUUAUUCUGAGAUUCUUGAUACAUGAUGUGACUAGUUCACAUGGUGAUGUUCUAAGAAUCAAAGAAAAGUGAAGAAACUUAAAGAAAGAAUAUGCUGAAUCUGAUGGCGUAGAUGGAUUUCUAUCGCAUAGUUUGAAGAUCGGAUUCUUGAGCAACUUCUUAGGAGUUAUGAGAUAUUGCUUAGGAAUAGAUAACAACAAGUUUUCAUAUGGAUUGUAAGGAUAAGUUUUUCCGCAAAGUUUUAAAAUAAAAGAAAAAUUUUUUGAUUUUAUUUAUUUUAAAAUAUCCUUACAAUGGCUUUUGAGGAAAAAUUGUUGCUUAUAUGAUUCCAUUAAGAGCAAGAGUGGAAAUAUGAAAUUGAUUCUUUCAUUUGUGGUAAUGUCUAGAUUUACCAAAUAAGGAAAGAUUCUCAUCACCCAAGUUUCAAUUGGACCGGAACUUGGAAUCAUGCAAGUUGUAUAGCAUGAUGAAUGAGAACUUUCAAGUUUUGGAAAAUUAAGACUAAUUACUCGGCCACAUGGAUGUGUGAGUCAAGUAAAGGACUAAGGGAUCGAGUACACAUUCUUGUGCACUGAUUAAGUCCACCACAAAAGAUUGAUAAGACUAUUCGUCAUAGUUUACUAAAGCUCAGUAAAUAUGAUUAUACUUACAAGCUUAAGUGUAACUCUGAGACAUUGGAAAAGGUUCCAAUGUAUGGCAGGGCGAAUAAGAAGAAUCAAAUUAGGCAGAAGGAUAAAAGUUUCUCAAAUCUGAAAAGAUGGGAGAGUACUUUAGUAUCAGUUUUGUGAUCAUCUUAAUGAUUAAGAAACCAUAUCAAAAUUAGUUCUCUAAGGAAAUCUUAGUGCAUUCUUAUGACUAAGAAGAGGAACUUGAAUUGUUGAAAUGGUUAAAUCAAGAAGAUGAGUCAUACUUCGUUCCAAUACAAGUCUUAGAGUCAUACUCCAAGAUUGUCAUUUGAGUGACAUGUCUUAAAGAAGGUUUAAAACACUUGUCAAAUGUAAGAGUAAAAGUUUUCUACUCUUGUACAUUUGAAAUUGGUAAGUUGUGAUGUUUUGGAUAAAACAAAGACCAACUUAGGCCAAUUGGGUAAAGUGUUUUUCUUGAUUAGAAUCCGCACUAUCUCUUGGAUGUUUGACAAGGGAGUCUUAUAUGUCAAGAGGACAGUGGGAGUCUUAAAGGUCUUGAAAGUCUCAAGAACUAAUCAAGAAUAAAACCUGAAGUUCUUCACUAGCACACGACUUGAGGUUUAUAACCUAUCGUGUUGACAUAUCUGUGCCCAUUCCAGUUAAAGUUGGCUUUGCAUAUGAGUUCUUAGAGUUCUCAAUUUGUUGCACAACAACUUGGAAGCAAUGGCAGGCCCUUGAGCUGCCAGGUGGCAAGAAAUUAAGAUUGAGUUCAGUCCAUAUGAGUUUGGAUUUGUCAUUAUCCUUGUCUUGUGACUAUGGUUUUGACAAUUCACAUGGAUAAGAACACAUACACCAUUAAAUCUAAGUGUCAUAAGGUUUCUCUCCGAUUCAUGAAAAUGAUGGUGAGGAAACACUUUCACUAAGUAGAUUUUAGCUAGAUAGCAAUUGUGAUAUUUGCAUUCUCAAAGUCGUUAGUGGAGCGCGUGUGGUUAACCGGCACACUAACCUGGACUUGUGAGAAGUGGCAAAAAGGUCUAACCAUUAUGAUUACGGCAUACCUCUUCAUAAUUGUUUAGACACACAAGUGUGCUAUCUAAGGGAAGGUGUAUGAUUUUGAUAAAGUUUUAUCAAAACAAUCUAGCAUCAGAAAUCUGAACUUUGGUAAGAAAGUCAAUGAAGUAUUGAUUUCUAGAAGUCCAGCUGAUUUCUGAGUACAUGUCAAAGCUAGUGGGAGCAUAAGUGUUAUGCUAAUAAUCAUCAUGUUAGUGGGAGCAUGAUAAUUAUGAUAAGUAUUGCAAGUUAGCAAUGUUAAUUAUAGAAAACAAAAGUUUCAAUUGGGAAAAAGUUGUUUUGCUAUAAUUAAGGGAGAGGAAAUUAUGCUUCAUCUCAAAUCUAUAAGCUUAGAUCGUGAGGUUUUAAUCAUUUAGUCAAGGAUAUAUAUGAAUUUCAUGUUGGAAUGGCUCAACAUAAGGAAAUUCUGUAUAUGGGUCCAUUAUUUGCGUUCUAAAAUUCGAUUAUGAUUACGGCAUCCCUUUUCAUAAUCUGAAUUAUGAGAACUUGGCAAAUUGAAAUGGAAAUGUUAUAGCAAAAGACUGGUUUAGUCUUUAUGUGAGACAUCAUGAAUCGUGUCCCAUAUGCUUCGGAUAUAGGAUCGAUUACAUGUGCUAUAUUCAUCCGUUCUAAAAUUUUCCAAAUGCCUGGGGCAUUAAGAAGGGAAAAGGUUUAGAACUGGAUAUGACUAAAAGGAUUAAACAAUUGUCGAGGACAAUCUAAGGUUUACCAAAGAUUGGUUGCUCAAGGACAGUUGGAAGUAUAGUGAUAAUUCUGGAAGGACCAUAUUGACAUAAUCUGUAAGGAGGCAACUCUUGUUCAGAAGUGAUAGUCAAAAUGGAAUCUGGAAAUGUUUCAAAGUUAGAAUUUUCAAUCUGUUUAAGAUUAGGAAACUUAAUGCAAGAAGGAUGUUUCCAAGGAGCUGAUCUCCUUUGGAAUACUCUGUAAUGAUUGUUGUCAAGUCUUUCUGACUUUGUGCAUAAUCAUUACAAGAGGAUCAAUGCAUAUAAGUUUAGAAUCUAACAGAUUUCAGUAAAUGGCAUGAAUUUGGAAUUCUUGCAUUUGCAGUAAGGAUUUGGGAGUGUGAAAAGAGAAUCAUUGAAGUUAUGUUCAAUUGAUCUAGUUCACAAAGUAAAGAUCAUAGACAAACAUAGUAUGCAUACUUGGUGUGUGGCAUGACUAGUGUUUAAGAAAACAUAGUGUACAUGCUUGGAGCAUGGGACAACUAUUGUUUUAAAUUCAAGAAUAAAGUUGAUAGCUGAAACAGUAUACAAUGAAUAAUGUGUAAUCAUAUGGUGAUAAAUAAAAGGUGUUUUAUUUAUGUUCAAAGGGUUGAUACCAUAUUGGAUUCAAUUAUUAUUGUGUUUCACUUUGCAUGUUUUGACUUCCCGAAUAAACUAGGUUAUUCUUCCGGAAUGACUAAGUUAUUCAAACCAUCCACAGUCGGUCAUAUGUUGGAAGUAGAUAUGAAUUAAGACUGUCAUGGGUUGGCUUGUAGAGGUCUAAGGUGUUGGACAAAGGGCUACAACACUCAUGAGUGCUCAUAAGUUCUGAGUAUUGGAUUCAACCCGCGCUCAUUGGAAUCACUUCAUGGAUUUUAUCACGAGUGAUCAUGAGACGAUAAUAUCUUAUAUUCUUCAAACCUAGAGAUAUGAGUUGUUACUAUGAGUUGAUAGUACAUUGAUUGCACGAAAACGCAUUUGGUAACUCGGUGCUAUAAAACGUGCCUUUGUGUAUGAUUCAACAAGUAGUAGAACAAGCCAUAUGAGUCGAAGUUUAUCCAUUCCUUUUACCUUCGGGAUAAAAGCGAUAUCUGUGGGCCCCUCGAUGAUUUGAUGAUGACAAAUGGAAGUGCUCGGCCGGGCCAGGACUGAUUUGAUUUGUUCAAUUAGUCAGUCGUCAUAAAUCGGAAAUCGGGAAACAACAAAUGGACAGAGAGAAUGAUUAUAAUCCAUGUCUCAGUCCAUAUGAUAUCUAGAAUGGAGGAUUAUAUGAUCCCUUAUCUAAUGGACAAGUUCGUUGACAAGAUCAAAGUUCGACAGCGGCUUUAAGAGCUACGAUAGCCAGUUAGGCUUGAAGUCAUACACAAUAAUAGUUUUAGACUUAUCCAUGUGGGAGACUGUUGGAUUAAUGUCUAAGUCCAAAACUAUAUUUGGUAUGUACUUGACCCAACCCGGCAUGGUCCAUUUGGGUUGCACUUCACCGACACAAUUUAUAUGGAUAAUCUUUUGAGAAUAGUAUGUUUAUGAUUAAUAUUAAUAUAUUAUAAGUUCUAAUAUAUUAAUAUGGAAUCAUAUUAUUUAAUUAGUAUUGAUCAAGAAUUAAUUUAGAAUUAAUUAAGUGAUCAAAAUGAACUAAUUAAAUAUGGACUCUUAUAUAUAUAUGGAAUGGGCGAAGUUUAUUUAGGUUGGGCUAAGCUUUCAUGGAUAGUUCAUGGAGUGUUUAACCCAUGGAUCCUAGGAAAUGAAAGGUCAUGGGUAUUAGGGUUUUACCCUAAUCCUCCACACUAUAUAAAGAUGUCAUUGGUUGGUGAAAUUGGCACUAGUGUGGUACACUAAGAAGGGCUAGCCAAUUUCACUAGAGAGAACCAAGUAUCCAUAUUCUCUAAAGUCUUCCAAGGUGUUUUGGUGAUUUGUGAUUCCAUUUGAGGCUUCCACACUAUUGGGGCUAAGCUCUUAAAGCUUGAAGACAUCAAGCUACAUCAA
rnacentral:lncRNA from 1 species